rnacentral:misc_RNA from 1 species
UCUUUGUCCCUGGAUCAUAAUAAAUUUCUUCAUAAAUAUUUAUUAAUCAGUUUUAUACAAAUAUAAUUAACAGUUUUUUGUUUGUUUUUUAUCAUUUAUAGUAUUUUAUUCUUAUUAAUGCUUAAUUUAUGCUGAUUAAUGCCUAAUUUAUUGAAAUUAUUUGGUUUUAUUAAGUUGUUAAAGUGUAAUAAUAAUAAUUGUUUUUGUUAAUUUUUAGAAAAAUAUACAAAUCUAACUUUUGAUUAACAAUGGCUCACUGUAAAAAAUGUUAGACUGUUUGAUAAAUGAUUAAAUCUCACUAAUUCAAUGUAUUUUGCUAAAGAACCUCUCUGAGAAGUCUGAAGGACAAAUCUUGAAGCAUUAUACUAGAGGAUAAAAAUAAAAAGUAUUUUAAUAAAGGAAACAUCUUGGAAGUAUUUUACUAAAGUAAAUAUCUUGGAAGUAUUUUACUAAAAAAACAUAUCUGGGAUUCAUUUGAAACUUCACAAAAUUUAAAUAUCAGGAUUCACGAUCAAGGUAAAGCCGUUACAAAGAGAAAAUAUGGCCUGAGCGAGAUGAUUUAUCUGUUGGACUAAAGAUUGUUGCUAAUCCUCCACUUGUUUCACCGAACAAGGUUAUAUUGCCACCUUUUCACAUAAAAUUAGGCCUCAUCAAACAGCUUGUAGAAGUAUUUGGAAAAGAUUGUGAUGCAAUGAACUUUUUGAAGACAAAGUUCCCGAAUUGAGUUUUGCGGAAGUAACAGGUGUUUUCAUUAGACCACAGUUGAGGCAGCCAGUGCCGGAUACGGAGGGGGGUUCUAAGGGGGACUAUAGCCCCAAAUAUUUUAGAGGACAUUUUUUUUUUAUUUUUUUUUAAUAAAUCAUUUUUAGGCUCUACCCCAUAAAAAGGCCUCCAAAAACAAAAAUAGCCUCGGGCCCCAAGAAGUCUUAAUCCGCCACUGGAGGCAGCUGCUACUUGAUCAGAACUUUGAUAACAAUUUGACACCAGUUCAAAAAGUAGCAUGGCUGUCUGUUUGAUAUGUUUGCAAUGGUUUUCUUGAACGACAUCAAGCUGCAAAUUUUGAAUCUCUAAAUCCUAUAAACAAAAAAAUACUAUAUUAAUUAAAUUAAAUUGUUGUACCAACGAUCUUUUCAUGUAUUUUUUACUGCCUUUUUAGACUUACAUCUUUACAAAACUUUA